rnacentral:rRNA from 1 species
UACGGAGGGUGCAAGCGUUAUCCGGAUUCACUGGGUUUAAAGGGUGCGUAGGUGGGUUGGUAAGUCAGUGGUGAAAUCUCCGAGCUUAACUUGGAAACUGCCAUUGAUACUAUCAGUCUUGAAUAUUGUGGAGGUUAGCGGAAUAUGUCAUGUAGCGGUGAAAUGCUUAGAUAUGACAUAGAACACCAAUUGCGAAGGCAGCUCACUACACAAUCAUUGACUCUGAGGCACGAAAGCGUGGGGAUCAAACAGG